CCUACGGGAGGCAGCAGUGGGGAAUAUUGGACAAUGGGGGAAACCCUUAUCCAGCGACGCCGCGUGAGGGAAGAAGGUUUUCGGAUUGUAAACCUCUGUCAGUGGGGACGAUAAUGACGGUACCCACGGAGGAAGCCACGGCUAACUACGUGCCAGCAGCCGCGGCAAUACGUAGGUGGCAAGCGUUGUCCGGAAUUACUGGGUGUAAAGGGGGCGUAGGCGGGAUGUCUAGUCAGAAGUGAAAAUUUUGGGGCCAACUCAUAAUCGGCUUUUGAAACUGACAUUCUUGAGUGAAGGAGAGGCAAGCGGAAUUCCUGGUGUAGCGGUGAAAUGCGUAGAUAUUAGGAGGAACACCAGUGGCGAAGGCAGCUUGCUGGGCUUUUACUGACGCUGAGGCACGAAAGCGUGGGGAGCAAACAGGAUUAGAUACCCGUGUAGUC
rnacentral:rRNA from 1 species